CUCCCUUCUUCCCUUCCUCCACUCCAAUACACACAAACUAUCCCUCCUCCUCCUCCACCUUUCCUUUUAGCCUCCUCCCCUUUCAUCUAUCUAUCUAAUCUAUCCGCUCCUCCCACUCCCUCUCUUUUGUUCAUCCUCAUCUUCUCCACCUAACCUGAUCGAUAAUUGCUCGCUCGCUCGAUCUAUGCUAGUGUGCCUAUCCCACAUAGGUAUCCUGAGAUACCAAAUACCUUGUAUGGAUCGACCUCGGUACCGACCAAGAGGCAAGGGAAACAAGAGAAGAGUGGCUCUCUUUGUUGCCUUCCACAGCUUUCUUGAACUGCUUAUAGGGUUCACGAAUCCGGUAGCCGAUCUCUGGGAGCUCUCACAUUGCAGUUCAAUAAAGCUGUGGGAAGUUACACGGAGGGCCAAGGAAAAAUCCAGGCUUUGAUGGGGUUUACACCGAUGGUGUAUAUGCUAGCUGGAGAAAUCUACGGAAUAUUAUGUCCUAAUCAUAAAGAAUUAAGUCGAGGAUGAUUCUUGAGAGAUUGAUUUUUCGUCAUAAUAUCCAUGGAUUUAAAUCUUCAUUUCUUUUCCUGGUGUAAAUGCAUAAAAUACAAGUUCUUUUGCGUGCAUAUUUGUGGAUCUAUCUAUCCUUGAUUCGUAAAAGCAAAGGCGAGGACUAUUAUUCCCGAUCUCUACUAAUCUUUGAUAAAAACCAUUCUUAAUCUCUUAUGGAUCGAAUUACUCUCUGAAUAUCUUGUUCAAUUUCCUAAGCAUGUUUUCCCCUCAUCAUGUAUCCCGUGAAUUAAAGUCUAUAUUGCCUUUAUACACGGAUCCCUUUCAUUAUUGUCACUUACCUUUCUCAAGGAGGUAAAUUUCAACUGCUUCAUGAUGUAAACUCUUGCAUUGAAUUGACAUGCCCUAUCAUAUUAGAUUAGAGAUUGACAUGACAGAUGGUUGCUAAGUUCAGUUUGUUGUUUGAUUGCAGAUUAGUCUGCACAAUAUAUUUUUGUGAGAUCAGCUACAUUUUGUUAUUUUAUCUGAUGGCUCCAUUCCGAUAUGUUGCACGUGUGUGUGUGCGUGUGCGUGUGCGUUUGUGUGUCCAGAUCAGAUUAGAUAGUUUAAUGGGGACAAGCUAUAUAGAAUCUUCCCGGUGGCGUAUCGAACUUGUUGAUUGUGAAUUGCAAGUAAUCUAUGUAUAGCCUGCUUCUUACAUUUUGUCAAGAGUCUGGCCUCCAUGUGGUUGUUUCAUGGCAGGAAGAUUCCCAGAUGGAGCAAAGAGCAUUGAUCCUACGUAUCUGCAAGUGACAAUGGCUGUGUGUUGACCUCUUUCGUAUGAUCUGUAAAGUUGUACUGUGUCGGUCAACCAAUUAUUGAACAGUUAAUUCUUUGCCAUUCAUGUUCUUCCUGGGACACCACCCAUGAUCUCCUUUAUUAAUAACCUACCUUGUAUUUGCUUGAGCGUUAUCUUGACUAUUAAAAAUUUUCAUGCAGCA